UACGUAGGAUGCUAGCGUUGUCCGGAUUUACUGGGUGUAAAGGGAGCGCAGGCGGGUUUGUAAGUCGGUGGUGAAAUUUUCGGGCUUAACCCGAAGACUUCCAUCGAUACUGCUAAUCUUGAGUGCAGAAGAGGUUGAUGGAAUUCUAGGUGUAGCGGUGAAAUGCGUAGAUAUCUAGAAGAACACCGAUGGCGAAGGCAGUCAACUGGUCUGUUACUGCCGCUCAUGCUCGCAAGCGUGGGGAUCAAACAGG
rnacentral:rRNA from 1 species